rnacentral:rRNA from 1 species
GAUGAACGCUGGCGGCGUGCCUAAUACAUGCAAGUCGAGCGAACAGACGAGGAGCUUGCUCCUUCGACGUUAGCGGCGGACGGGUGAGUAACACGUAGGUAACCUACCUAUAAGACUGGGAUAACUUCGGGAAACCGGAGCUAAUACCGGAUAAUAUUUCGCACCGCAUGGUUCGAUAGUGAAAGAUGGCUUUGCUAUCACUUAUAGAUGGACCUGCGCCGUAUUAGCUAGUUGGUAAGGUAACGGCUUACCAAGGCAACGAUACGUAGCCGACCUGAGAGGGUGAUCGGCCACACUGGAACUGAGACACGGUCCAGACUCCUACGGGAGGCAGCAGUAGGGAAUCUUCCGCAAUGGGCGAAAGCCUGACGGAGCAACGCCGCGUGAGUGAUGAAGGUCUUCGGAUCGUAAAACUCUGUUAUUAGGGAAGAACAAACGUGUAAGUAACUGUGCACGUCCUGACGGUACCUAAUCAGAAAGCCACGGCUAACUACGUG